rnacentral:rRNA from 1 species
UUAACCGGAUUAGAUACCCUGGUAGUCCACGCCGUAAACGAUGUCGACUUGGAGGUUGUGCCCUUGAGGCGUGGCUUCCGGAGCUAACGCGUUAAGUCGACCGCCUGGGGAGUACGGCCGCAAGGUUAAAACUCAAAUGAAUUGACGGGGGCAAAAACAAAACGGUGGAGCAUGUGGUUUAAUUCGAUGCAACGCGAAGAACCUUACCUGGUCUUGACAUCCACGGAAGUUUUCAGAGAUGAGAAUGUGCCUUCGGGAACCGUGAGACAGGUGCUGCAUGGCUGUCGUCAGCUCGUGUUGUGAAAUGUUGGGUUAAGUCCCGCAACGAGCGCAACCCUUAUCCUUUGUUGCCAGCGGUCCGGCCGGGAACUCAAAGGAGACUGCCAGUGAUAAACUGGAGGAAGGUGGGGAUGACGUCAAGUCAUCAUGGCCCUUACGACCAGGGCUACACACGUGCUACAAUGGCGCAUACAAAGAGAAGCGACCUCGCGAGAGCAAGCGGACCUCAUAAAGUGCGUCGUUUCCGAUUGGAGUCUGCAACUCGACUCCAUGAAGUCGGAAUCG